UAGGGAAUCUUCGGCAAUGGGGGCAACCCUGACCGAGCAACGCCGCGUGAGUGAAGAAGGUUUUCGGAUCGUAAAGCUCUGUUGUAAGAGAGGAACGUGUGUGAGAGUGGAAAGUUCACACAGUGACGGUAACUUACCAGAAAGGGACGGCUAACUACGUGCCAG
rnacentral:rRNA from 1 species